GUCCCUACGGGAGGCAGCAGUGAGGAAUAUUGGUCAAUGGGCUUACGCCUGAACCAGCCAAGUCGCGUGAGGGAAGACUGCCCUAUGGGUUGUAAACCUCUUUUGUCAGGGAGCAACGCCGGCUACGUGUAGCCGGACUGAGAGUACCUGAAGAAAAAGCAUCGGCUAACUCCGUGCCAGCAGCCGCGGUAAUACUGAGGAUGCGCGCGUUAUCCGGAUUGUUUGGGUUUAAAGGGUGCGUAGGCGGAA
rnacentral:rRNA from 1 species